GCAGGCCCUACACAUUGCAAGUUCGAGCGGUAGCACAGAGAGCUUGCUCUCGGGUGACGAGCGGCGGACGGGUGAGUAAUGUCUGGGAAACUGCCUGAUGGAGGGGGAUAACUACUGGAAACGGUAGCUAAUACCGCAUAACGUCGCAAGACCAAAGUGGGGGACCUUCGGGCCUCAUGCCAUCAGAUGUGCCCAGAUGGGAUUAGCUAGUAGGUGGGGUAACGGCUCACCUAGGCGACGAUCCCUAGCUGGUCUGAGAGGAUGACCAGCCACACUGGAACUGAGACACGGUCCAGACUCCUACGGGAGGCAGCAGUGGGGAAUAUUGCACAAUGGGCGCAAGCCUGAUGAUGCAGCCAUGCCGCGUGUAUGAAGAAGGCCUUCGGGUUGUAAAGUACUUUCAGCGAGGAGGAAGGCGUUAAGGUUAAUAACCUUGGCGAUUGACGUUACUCGC
rnacentral:rRNA from 1 species